rnacentral:rRNA from 1 species
CCCUUAGAUGUUCUGGGCUGCACGCGCGCUACACUGAAGCGUUCAACGAGUAUUUCACCUUGCCCGGGAGGGUUGGGUAAUCUUUUUAAAACGCUUCGUGAUGGGGAUAGAUUAUUGCAAUUAUUAAUCUUCAACGAGGAAUUCCUAGUAAGCGCGAGUCAUCAGCUCGUGCUGAUUACGUCCCUGCCCUUUGUACACACCGCCCGUCGCUCCUACCGAUUGAGCGAUCCGGUGAAUAAUUCGGACUGCAGCAGUGCUUGGUCCUCCGGGCUUUGCAGCGGAAAGUUUAGUGAACCUUAUCACUUAGAGGAAGGAGAAGUCGUAACA